AGUGAACGCUGGCGGUAGGCCUAACACAUGCAAGUCGAACGGCAGCACAGGAGAGCUUGCUCUCUGGGUGGCGAGUGGCGGACGGGUGAGGAAUACAUCGGAAUCUACUUUUUCGUGGGGGAUAACGUAGGGAAACUUACGCUAAUACCGCAUACGACCUACGGGUGAAAGCAGGGGAUCUUCGGACCUUGCGCGAUUGAAUGAGCCGAUGUCGGAUUAGCUAGUUGGCAGGGUAAAGGCCUACCAAGGCGACGAUCCGUAGCUGGUCUGAGAGGAUGAUCAGCCACACUGGAACUGAGACACGGUCCAGACUCCUACGGGAGGCAGCAGUGGGGAAUAUUGGACAAUGGGCGCAAGCCUGAUCCAGCCAUACCGCGUGGGUGAAGAAGGCUUUCGGGUUGUAAGGCCCUUUUGUUGGGAAAGAAAUCCAGCUGGCUAAUACCCGGUUGGGAUGACGGUACCCAAAGAAUAAGCACCGGCUAACUUCGUGCCAGCCGCCGCGGUAA
rnacentral:rRNA from 1 species